GGGGCAUUAGCUCAGCUGGGAGAGCACAACACUGGCAGUGUUGGGGUCAGGGGUUCAAGUCCCCUAUGUUCCA
rnacentral:tRNA from 1 species